ensembl:lncRNA
AGCGGGGCUUGGUGUCCGGCUCUGAGCCAGGGCUUGAUGCACCCGGCUACCCCUGCAGCUGGAGGGAUCCCUGAGACCCCAGGAGAGCAGGAGAGGAGGCGCCCGGCCCCGCACGUGGCUGCGGGGGAAGCUGCUGCGGGGGGAUGCGGAGGUCGUCCCAGGAGGCCUGCUCCGGAUAAUGCAAAGACCUUGCUGCUGUGCUAUGCUCAGUUGUGUCUGACUCGUUCCCACGCCAUGGACUAUAGCCAGCUAGGCUCCUCUGUCCAUGGAAUUUUCCAGGCAAGGAUACUGAA